rnacentral:rRNA from 1 species
CCAAUAGCGUAUAUUAAGGUUGCUGCGGUUAAAAAGCUCGUAGUUGAAUUUCGGGAUUGAUGCAUCGGUCGUGCCUUAAGGGGUAUGAACUGGUGUGGUCAAUUUCUUACCUUCUGGUGAAUUGUGAUGUCCUCCUUAAUUGGGUGUUUCAAUGAACUAGGACUUUUUACUUUGAAAAAAUUAGAGUGUUUAAAGCAGGCAUUAUUUGCUUGAAUACAUUAGCAUGGAAUAAUAAAAUAGGACAAUGAUUCUAUUUUGUUGGUUUCUAGGAUCACUGUAAUGAUUAAUAGGGAUAGUUGGGGGCAUUAGUAUUCAAUUGUCAGAGGUGAAAUUCUUGGAUUAAUUGAAGACUAACUACUGCGAAAGCAUUUGCCAAGGAUAUUUUCAUUAAUCAAGAACGAAAGUUAGGGGAUCGAAGACGAUUAGGUACGUCGUAGUCUUAACCAUAAACUAUGCCGACUAGGAAUCAGACAACGUUAAAUUUUUAAUGACUUGUUUGGCACCUUACG